AGCCAAGUACAUCAUCACGUUACUGGAAUACACUAGUAUAUCUAGAACAGGAUCAUCUAAAUUGUACCCCGCUUUCUAUAUAGCACAAACAUAUAUGACGAUUCAUAUAGAUGACCGUACAUGCAAACACUCAGCAAAAGAGCUUGAAAACGAACAACGGCCAACAUUUCUGUAGGUGAAGUAGAGAAACUUCUUCUUUAUUGUAUCUUCCUUCUUCUUCUUUCUACCACCGAAGAAUAAGAAAGACUGAUUCAAAACUUAUUCUCCCUAGUCCUUCAUUAUGGUC
rnacentral:lncRNA from 1 species